rnacentral:rRNA from 1 species
UACGUAGGGCGCAAGCGUUGUCCGGGAUUAUUGGGCGUAAAGAGCUCGUAGGCGGCUUGUCACGUCGGGUGUGAAAGCCCGGGGCUUAACCCCGGGUCUGCAUUCGAUACGGGCUAGCUAGAGUGUGGUAGGGGAGAUCGGAAUUCCUGGUGUAGCGGUGAAAUGCGCAGAUAUCAGGAGGAACACCGGUGGCGAAGGCGGAUCUCUGGGCCAUUACUGACGCUGAGGAGCGAAAGCGUGGGGAGCGAACAGG